GAUGCCAAGAUGGCUGCUGCACACGCACCCAAAGACA
rnacentral:tRNA from 1 species